rnacentral:rRNA from 1 species
CCUUCAGGAUGGGGACAACAGACGGAAACGACUGCUAAUACCGAAUAAGUUCCAAGAGCCGCAUGGCCCAUGGAAGAAAAGGUGGCCUCUACCUGUAAGCUAUCGCCUGAAGAGGGGUUUGCGUCUGAUUAGCUGGUUGGAGGGGGUAACGGGCCCACCAAGGCGACGAUCAGUAGCCGGUCUGAGAGGAUGAACGGCCACACUGGAACUGAGACACGGUCCAGACUCCUACGGGAGGCAGCAUG